AACGCUAGCUACAGGCUUAACACAUGCAAGUCGAGGGGAAACGAUAUUGGAAGCUUGCUUCCGAUAGGCGUCGACCGGCGCACGGGUGAGUAACGCGUAUCCAACCUGCCCAUCACUUGGGAAUAACCUUGCGAAAGUAAGACUAAUGCCCAAUGACAUUUAUAGAAGGCAUCGGAAAUGAAUUAAAGAUUUAUCGGUGAUGGAUGGGGAUGCGUCUGAUUAGCUUGUUGGCGGGGUAACGGCCCACCAAGGCGACGAUCAGUAGGGGUUCUGAGAGGAAGGUCCCCCACAUUGGAACUGAGACACGGUCCAAACUCCUACGGGAGGCAGCAGUGAGGAAUAUUGGUCAAUGGGCGAGAGCCUGAACCAGCCAAGUAGCGUGCAGGAAGACGGCCCUAUGGGUUGUAAACUGCUUUUAUAGGGGAAUAAAGUGAGCCACGCGUGGUUUUUUGCAUGUACCCUAUGAAUAAGGACCGGCUAAUUCCGUGCCAGCAGCCGCGGUAAUACGGAAGGUCCGGGCGUUAUCCGGAUUUAUUGGGUUUAAAGGGAGCGUAGGCCGGAGAUUAAGCGUGUUGUGAAAUGUAGAGGCUCAACAUCUGCACUGCAGCGCGAACUGGUUUCCUUGAGUACGCAUAAAGUGGGCGGAAUUCGUGGUGUAGCGGUGAAAUGCUUAGAUAUCACGAAGAACUCCGAUUG
rnacentral:rRNA from 1 species